GACGAACGCUGGCGGCGCGCUUAACACAUGCAAGUCGAACGGAAAGGCCUGCUUUCCCUUGUGGAUUGCGGGUACUCGAGUGGCGAACGGGUGAGUAACACGUGAGUGAUCUGCCCCCAACUUGGGUAUAAGCCUGGGAAACUGGGUCUAAUUCCCGAUAGGACUGCAGGGUGGUGCCUGUGGUGGAAAACGAUUUUCUAGUGGUUGGGGAUGAGCUCGCGGCCUAUCAGCUUGUUGGUGGGGUAAUGGCCUACCAAGGCGGCGACGGGUAGCCGGCCUGGGAGGGUGGACGGCCACAUUGGGACUGCGAUACGGCCCAGACUCCUACGGGAGGCAGCAGUGGGGAAUAUUGCACAAUGGGCGGAAGCCUGAUGCAGCGACGCCGCGUGGGGGAUGACGGCCUUCGGGUUGUAAACUCCUUUCGACCGCGAGGAAGCCACCUGGUUGGAAGGGUGGUGACGGUAGUGGUAGAAGAAGCACCGGCUAACUACGUG
rnacentral:rRNA from 1 species